AUUUUUUCUUCUUCUCUGUCUACUUUCUCUUUUUCUCUUUCUUUUAUAUUCUCACUAAAAAUAAAAAUUCUUCUCAUUUGAAUUUUACUUCAUUUUCUUCUCUCUCUCUCAUCAUCAUCUUCAUCUUCUCUUCGUGUCUUCCUCGUGUUUUAUCUCUCUCUCUCUCUCUCUCUCUCUAUUAUGUCGACAUUUUUUUAAUUCUCUUUCUUUUGUUUUUUCUCUUUCUAUUUAUCUUGCAAUUCUCUUUCUCUCCUCAAGGUAAUCUCAUAUUCACUGGUAACGAAAAGCAAAACAUUGAGGAAAAUUUGUUUCCAACAUAUAACGUUUCAAGUUAAUUAAUUUCCAUCAUCAGCGAUAAUCACAAUUAGAUUGAUCUUUUAUAUUUAACAUCAACAAUUACCAUUCUCUCAACAGUUCAUGGUCAAGUUGUUAUUUCGUAUCAUUUGAUUAUCCAGUUAAUCCUUUAAAAUUACUUAAGAAAACGUCAUCUUCUUAAUCUUUGGUACUUCUUAUUCAUGAGUCUUGGUAUUUUCUAUACUGAGUGAGCGUUUGGACUCAUUUUAUUGGAAAUUUGUUCCGUUUUGUUUUCAUCUUUCUCUCUUUCUCUCUCUCUCUCUCCUCACCAUCUUAAUAACCUUUACACUUUCCUCCCUUCAAGUUGACUAUCAGCUUAAUCUCUCCCUAAUCCAUUAGGUUGACCUCACAUUAACCAUUUCUUUUUAAGCUUGGAAUCAUUUAUGUGCAGUUAGGCUUAUGGCAGCAUUUAAAUAUACCAAUUUAGAGGCCGCUUAAUUGUCAAGAAAUGGAUCAACUUCACUUAAAUUGUAGCGAUUUACAUUGAACUCAAUCAAUCACAAUUAGAUUAUGGGGAUAGAUUGACUUCCUAAAAUGAUAAACUACCGUCGUUAACUCACUAGACUUAAUGAUUAUUAUUUUAAUCUUGAGUUUCCAAGUUCAUACCGUUCAUCAUUUAAUUAUUCUGGUUACAAUCAAGAUAAACUACUACAAUUAUCCUAGGAUUGGACAGAAUCUAAUUCAGUCCAAUCCCUUUUUUUACCAACUUGAUUAGUUAGAAAAUGGCAACAAUCAAAGUCUAAGUGAAAAAUACUUCGGUCCUUGAGUUUACCUUAAAAGCUUUCAACAUUAGCUCAAUUUAAGGAUAAUUUAACUAAUCACUAUACACAAUGAUUACUUUAAAAGUAGUCCGAUGUCUAUCCUGGAACAAUCAACUAAUUGCUCCAUCAGUUUACUAAUUAUCAACAGGAAAAGAAAUUGAAUCAACUAUUAAUACAAAACCUUGAAAUAUUAUGAUUUCCAAUCAAUUAUCCCACAAAAUUAUUUGAUUGUUAUCAUCACUUUACAACAUAUGAUUGGAAACGAAAAUUUGAACGAAAUUGAAUUGAAUUAAAUUUUGGAAAAUGAAACAAUUUAAAUUAAUCAUUGGAUAAUUGGAAAUUUCUUUGAGACUAUUUAAUUAUCAUGGAUACAGAGAGAAAG